GACGAACGCUGGCGGCGUGCUUAACACAUGCAAGUCGAACGGAAAGGCCCUGCUUUUGUGGGGUGCUCGAGUGGCGAACGGGUGAGUAACACGUGAGUAACCUGCCCUUGACUUUGGGAUAACUUCAGGAAACUGGGGCUAAUACCGGAUAGGAGCUCCUGCUGCAUGGUGGGGGUUGGAAAGUUUUGGCGGUUGGGGAUGGACUCGCGGCUUAUCAGCUUGUUGGUGGGGUAGUGGCUUACCAAGGCUUUGACGGGUAGCCGGCCUGAGAGGGUGGACGGCCACAUUGGGACUGAGAUACGGCCCAGACUCCUACGGGAGGCAGCAGUGGGGAAUAUUGCACAAUGGGCGGAAGCCUGAUGCAGCAACGCCGCGUGCGGGAUGACGGCCUUCGGGUUGUAAACCGCUUUCGCCUGUGACGAAGCGUGAGUGACGGUAAUGGGUAAAGAAGCACCGGCUAACUACGUG
rnacentral:rRNA from 1 species